GAGUUUGAUCUUGGCUCAGAAUGAACGCUGGCGGCAUGCCUAACACAUGCAAGUCGAACGAAGGCUUCGGCCUUAGUGGCGCACGGGUGCGUAACGCGUGGGAAUCUGCCCCUUGGUUCGGAAUAACAGUUGGAAACGACUGCUAAUACCGGAUGAUGACGUAAGUCCAAAGAUUUAUCACCGAGGGAUGAGCCCGCGUAGGAUUAGCUAGUUGGUGUGGUAAAAGCGCACCAAGGCGACGAUCCUUAGCUGGCCUGAGAGGAUGAUCAGCCACACUGGGACUGAGACACGGCCCAGACUCCUACGGGAGGCAGCAGUGGGGAAUAUUGGACAAUGGGCGAAAGCCUGAUCCAGCAAUGCCGCGUGAGUGAUGAAGGCCUUAGGGUUGUAAAGCUCUUUUACCCGGGAUGAUAAUGACAGUACCGGAGAAUAAGCUCCGGCUAACUCCGUGCCAGCAGCCGCCGCGGUAAU
rnacentral:rRNA from 1 species